rnacentral:rRNA from 1 species
UACGUAGGGUGCGAGCGUUAAUCGGAAUUACUGGGCGUAAAGCGUGCGCAGGCGGUUUUGUAAGCCAGAUGUGAAGUCCCCGGGCUCAACCUGGGAAUGGCAUUUGGGACUGCAAGGCUUGAGUGCGGCAGAGGAGACUGGAAUUCCUGGUGUAGCAGUGAAAUGCGUAGAUAUCAGGAGGAAUACCGAUGGCGAAGGCAGGUCUCUGGGCUGACACUGACGCUCAUGCACGAAAGCGUGGGGAGCAAACAGG